UUUACAAUGGAGAGUUUGAUCCUGGCUCAGGAUGAACGCUAGCGGCAGGCCUAAUACAUGCAAGUCGAACGGUUGAUAGCAAUAUCAAUAGUGGCGCACGGGUGCGU
rnacentral:rRNA from 2 species